rnacentral:rRNA from 1 species
AGAGCGAACGCUGGCGGCAGGCCUAAUACAUGCAAGUCGAACGCACCUUCGGGUGAGUGGCGGACGGGUGAGUAACACGUGGGAACGUGCCUUUUGGUUCGGAAUAAUCCGGGGAAACCUGGCCUAAUACCGGAUGUGCCCUUCGGGGGAAAGAUUUAUCGCCAUUAGAGCGGCCCGCGUCUGAUUAGCUUGUUGGUGGGGUAAUGGCCCACCAAGGCUACGAUCAGUAGCUGGUCUGAGAGGAUGAUCAGCCAGACUGGGACUGAGAACGGCCCAGACUCCUACGGGAGGCAGCAGUAGGGAAUUUUCCACAAUGGGCGAAAGCCUGAUGGAGCAACGCCGCGUGCAGGAUGAAGCCCCUUGGGGCGUAAACUCCUUUCGAUCGGGACGAUUAUGACGGUACCGGAAGAAGAAGCCCCGGCUAACUUCGUGCCAGCAGCCGC